rnacentral:rRNA from 1 species
GACGAACGCUGGCGGCGUGCUUAGCACAUGCAAGUCGAACGGAAAGGCCCUGCUUUUGUGGGGUGCUCGAGUGGCGAACGGGUGAGUAACACGUGAGUAACCUGCCCUUGACUUUGGGAUAACUUCAGGAAACUGGGGCUAAUACCGGAUAGGAGCUCCUGCUGCAUGGUGGGGGUUGGAAAGUUUCGGCGGUUGGGGAUGGACUCGCGGCUUAUCAGCUUGUUGGUGGGGUAGUGGCUUACCAAGGCUUUGACGGGUAGCCGGCCUGAGAGGGUGACCGGCCACAUUGGGACUGAGACACGGCCCAGACUCCUACGGGAGGCAGCAGUGGGGAAUAUUGCACAAUGGGCGGAGGCCUGAUGCAGCAACGCCGCGUGCGGGAUGACGGCCUUCGGGUUGUAAACCGCUUUCGCCUGUGACGAAGCGUGAGUGACGGUAAUGGGUAAAGAAGCACCGGCUAACUACGUG